rnacentral:rRNA from 1 species
GAAAAUUCCGCUAAAGAGGGUGAAAGCCCCGUAGACGAAAUGCUGACAACACCUAGGAGGAUCCUGAGUACGGCGGAACACGAGAAAUUCCGUCGGAAUCCGCGGGGACCAUCCCGCAAGGCUAAAUACUCCCUAGUGACCGAUAGUGAACCAGUACCGUGAGGGAAAGGUGAAAAGCACCCCGGAAGGGGAGUGAAAUAGAUCCUGAAACCGUGUGCCUACAACAAGUCAAAGCUCGUUAAUGAGUGAUGGCGUGCCUUUUGUAGAAUGAACCGGCGAGUUACGAUUGCAUGCGAGGUUAAGUCGAAGAGACGGAGCCGCAGCGAAAGCGAGUCUGAAUAGGGCGAAUGAGUAUGUAGUCGUAGACCCGAAACCAUGUGAUCUACCCAUGUCCAGGUUGAAGGUGCGGUAAAACGCACUGGAGGACCGAACCCACGUACGUUGAAAAGUGCGGGGAUGAGGUGUGGGUAGCGGAGAAAUUCCAAACGAACUUGGAGAUAGCUGGUUCUCUCCGAAAUAGCUUUAGGGCUAGCCUCGGAAUUGAGAAUGAUGGAGGUAGAGCACUGUUUGGACUAGGGGCCCAUCUCGGGUUACCGAAUUCAGAUAAACUCCGAAUGCCAUUCAUUUAUAUCCGGGAGUCAGACUGCGAGUGAUAAGAUCCGUAGUCGAAAGGGAAACAGCCCAGACCACCAGCUAAGGUCCCAAAAUAUAUGUUAAGUGGAAAAGGAUGUGGGGUUGCACAGACAACUAGGAUGUUGGCUUAGAAGCAGCCACCAUUUAAAGAGUGCGUAAUAGCUCACUAGUCGAGUGACCCUGCGCCGAAAAUGUACCGGGGCUAAACAUAUUACCGAAGCUGUGGACUACACCAUUAGGUGUAGUGGUAGGAGAGCGUUCUAAGGGCGUUGAAGGUCGAUCGUGAGGACGGCUGGAGCGCUUAGAAGUGAGAAUGCCGGUAUGAGUAGCGAAAGACAGGUGAGAAUCCUGUCCACCGUAUGACUAAGGUUUCCUGGGGAAGGCUCGUCCGCCCAGGGUUAGUCGGGACCUAAGCCGAGGCCGAUAGGCGUAGGCGAUGGACAACAGGUUGAUAUUCCUGUACCAGUUGUUUUUGUUUGAGCAAUGGAGGGACGCAGUAGGCUAAGGAAUGCAUGCGAUUGGAAGUGCAUGUCCAAGCAAUGAGUCUUGAG